AUUGAACGCUGGCGGCAGGCCUAACACAUGCAAGUCGAGCGAGCGGCGGACGGGUGAGUAAUGUCUGGGAAACUGCCUGAUGGAGGGGGAUAACUACUGGAAACGGUAGCUAAUACCGCAUACCAUCAGAUGUGCCCAGAUGGGAGUAGCUAGUAGGUGGGGUAACGGCUCACCUAGGCGACGAUCCCUAGCUGGUCUGAGCGGAUGACCAGCCACACUGGAACUGAGACCCGGUCCCGACUCCUACGGGGGGCCGCAGUGGGGAAUAUUGCACAAUGGGCGCAAGCCUGAUGCAGCCAUGCCGGGUGUGUGAAGCAGUCCUUCGGUUUGUAAAGCACUUUCAGCGGGGAGGCGUUACCCGCAGAAGAAGCACCGGCUAACUCCGUGCCAGCCGCCGCGGUAAUUC
rnacentral:rRNA from 1 species